rnacentral:lncRNA from 1 species
GCUGUGUCCCCACCCAACAUCUCAGCCUGAAUUGUAAUCACCACAUAUUGGGACGGAGUUUUGCUCUGUAGCCAGGCUGGAGUGCAGUGGCACGAUCUCAGCUCACUGCAAUGCAACCUCCAACUCCCUGGUUCAAGAGAUUCUCCUGCUGUGUCCAGAGUUGGUGGGUUCUUGGUCUCACUUACUUCAAGAGUGAAGCCACAGACCCUCAUGGUAACUUUCUGUAAAAAAUUACAGCAGUGCAGAAGGUCUACUGGAUUAUGGCCUCCAGUUCCAUCCAUGUUGCUGCAGAAGCUAUAAUUUUAUUCUUUUGAAUGCUUUAAGCGUUCCAAAUCAUUGAAUUACUGAGAAGAUUAAAUGAGGGUAAAACAAUCCUUGAUACAUACCAACCAUCCAAUAAGAUUUGGCUGCAAUCACUACUUGUCAUCAUCAGUGACUGUAACAGAAGCAUGAAGACCAUAGCAAAGAGUCUGGAUACAGUGAAACAAGAAAUCGAGAGCCUUGUUAUUUCCUGCCUAAGUUCUUUCUGGCUGUAAGUCUCUGAUGUUGGCAAGUGACAGACCCCUAUGGCCAAUGAAUCACAACUUAAAUGAGUACCAAGUUCCCAGCUGAUAUGUGAAAAGGAGCUCAGUGAGAGGUACUUAUGUCCUUUGUGUACUUAAAAUAUUGCCCUUAAUGAAUAAGUCCGUGUGUUCAUUUUUAUUACAAAAGUAGCAGACCUAUCUUACUUUCAAUAUUACAAGGACAAUGCUUGCAAAGAUGAACAAAGGACGUUUAAAGAUACAGGGUCUGAAAGCUUCCGAAAGCCACAUAGUGAGAGAUAUUAAAACAAGUUGAGAGAAUUUGAUGUCAAAGGCAAGAUCAUAUCUGAAGCAUUUCUCAACACUGUAUAAAAUGCAAAAACAAAGAGAAACAAAACUCCUUGGAGAAGUUUCUGCUCAAUACGCAAGCCACCGACCCUUAGCGAAUGUUCCCAAUAGCAAUCAAUGAGCCCCUAACAAGAGCUGGAAGGACUGGGGCAGUAGGAACAACACAGACCAUUUGCUCUGAUUCAACGAUUUUUAUGAGCACCAUUAAGUGAAAAUGGGCAAGUAACUCUGUGGCUCAGGGCAAAGCCCCCACAGCGAUGUGAUGAAAAAUCUUGGCAAGAACCCAUGAAAGAGAACCCUUCAAAUCAAAUCAAACAAAUGCGGAUCUACUAGGAGGAAGGGCCUUGUUUUUCAUUUAAAAUAAUCUUUUAAAGAGUAGACAAUAAUCCAAACACCUCUGGGUUACUAUAUCUUCUAGGAGAAUACUGAUUUUGAUAAAAAUAUUUAAAUCAAAAAUUUUAGGUAAUUUUACCUUCAAAUAGCUUAGGCACCUUAGACCAAAGUUUGCACAUUCUACAAAUAUUGACACAAUAACACCAUUUUAAAUCUUUACCCACCAUUUGUUGGGUUAUGUCAAAUGUAACUCAGGAUAAAAAGUUGUUCAGAUAAGUGAUUGGUACAAUUGGAAUUUAUAGAUUAAAAAUUUGUUACAAGGAAUUAAAAGUUUUUCUUACCUAACCUCUCAAUAAUUUUCCAAAGAAAAUGUGUGAUGUGUCCCUUGCUCUGCCCUUCACUCUAGUGUUUUAUUUUGCAUCAUGGAUGCAUUUCUUUUAAUUUUCUUCAUAUAACUCUUCACAUGUACUCUUGAGAUUGCAUAUUGCUUCAACAAUCCUUGCCCAGCCACUAACUUCUUUCUUAAAAUAAUUUUCCUGCCCCCCUUCCUUCAACAGUAAUCAAUGUCUACCACCGCCUCUAUUAAUUCUGCCACUGAUUUUGUGAUAACUCUUCACAAAUACUGAAUGAUGUAACUUGAAGGCAGUUUUUGUUGUCUGAAUCUGCUUGAUGCCAGCUUAUGGUUGGCUAUAAUGCUCAGAAAUAGAAGCAAUGAUUAGACAAUACAAAGAGAUACUAGUUUAAUGUAAGGAAGAAUAUUUUCAUCCUUAUCACUUACUGUAUUUACUUUAUAUUCCACAUUACAAGGAGCCACUUCAACAUGAACACCAAGCCAUCUUAAGUUUAUUAAGAUCCUAAUAAUGUUUAAGCAUUGGUUAUGUGAAUAUAGAAUGAUGAUCCCACUUUGGAUUUUACAUUCAAGUAUAAGAAAUAUCUAUUAAUCAACUUCUUUCAGGAGUGUUACAGAUGGUAGAGUCUGUUUCAACUUUGGGUGCAGGGCUUAACACAUUCUUUAACACAAUAAAUCAACAUUACUGAGAAACAAAGUAAUUAUAAGAACUCUUCUAAUUCUAGGAAUCAAUGAUUUUAUAUCAAUCAUAUGGAAAGAGGUAAAAGUGCAUGCUUCAUGUUAUGUUACUUUCUUUUGCUUGAGAAUGCUAAAUUUGUAAAACUAUAUAAUAUGACAUACUUGUGACUGAAUUGUAAGAGAUUUUAUCUAAUAUUGCUUUAGAAUACAGAAGUAAUUGUUUCAAAGGAUAAAGGAUGGAAGAUUCUGAUAAAGCUUGCUUACUUUUUGGGGGAAGGCGUGGGGGGAAAUGUCUCAGUGCCCAAGGUCAGUGGCCUUCCUGACUGAAGACUUUCCCAGAGUAGAGGAUAAGAGUGGGAACAGGAAGAGCAGUUUAAAGUCAUCUUCACAACAUUCUGGUGAGUGACUGAUUGCUUCAGCAGCAAACAGGCACAUGGUAAAAAUAUUGGUAAUGUGAAUUUAGUGUUGUUACUGUCAUUUUUUUCUUUAUUAACUAUGAUUUUGCUUACAGAUAGCAGUCAGAGUAGUAGUAUAUUGAUAAUAAUGAACCUCUUAGGGUUGCUGGUUUGGUGUUUCAAAGUUUUUCAGUUAUCCAUAUUAAACUUUUAAAGAUA